UGGGGAAUAUUGCACAAUGGGGGAAACCCUGAUGCAGCGACGCCGCGUGAGCGAAGAAGUAUUUCGGUAUGUAAAGCUCUAUCAGCAGGGAAGAAAAUGACGGUACCUGACUAAGAAGCACCGGCUAAAUACGUGCCAGCAGCCGCGGUAAUACGUAUGGUGCAAGCGUUAUCCGGAUUUACUGGGUGUAAAGGGAGCGUAGACGGAUGGGCAAGUCUGAUGUGAAAACCCGGGGCUCAACCCCGGGACUGCAUUGGAAACUGUUCAUCUAGAGUGCUGGAGAGGUAAGUGGAAUUCCUAGUGUAGCGGUGAAAUGCGUAGAUAUUAGGAGGAACACCAGUGGCGAAGGCGGCUUACUGGACAGUAACUGACGUUGAGGCUCGAAAGCGUGGGGAGCAAACAGG
rnacentral:rRNA from 2 species